AUAACGGUCCUAAGGUAGCGAAAUUCCUUGUCAGGUAAGUUCUGACCCGCACGAAAGGCGUAAUGAUUUGGGCACUGUCUCAACAGCCCGCCCGGCGAAAUUGUAGUACCGGUGAAGAUGCCGGUUACCCGCGACAAGACGGAAAGACCCCAUGGAGCUUUACUGUAGCCUAAUAUUGGGUUUCGAUGUUGCAUGCACAGGAUAGAUGGGACACAGGGAAACAAUCGCUUUGGCGGUUGCGGAGUGGCCGUUGGGAUACCAUCCUUGCGAUAUUGGAAUUCUAACCUGCGGCUCUGAAUCGAGUCGGGGGACAUUGUUAGGUGGGCAGUUUGACUGGGGCGGUCGCCUCCUAAAAAGUAACGGAGGCGCCCAAAGGUUCCCUCAGAACGGUCGGAAAUCGUUCGUAGAGUGCAAAGGCAGAAGGGAGCUUGACUGCGAGACCUACAAGUCGAGCAGGGACGAAAGUCGGGCUUAGUGAUCCGGCGGUGCUGAAUGGAAAGGCCGUCGCUCAACGGAUAAAAGCUACCCUGGGGAUAACAGGCUGAUCUCCCCCAAGAGUCCACAUCGACGGGGAGGUUUGGCACCUCGAUGUCGGCUCAUCGCAUCCUGGGGCUGAAGUAGGUCCCAAGGGUUGGGCUGUUCGCCCAUUAAAGCGGUACGCGAGCUGGGUUCAGAACGUCGUGAGACAGUUCGGUCCCUAUCUGUCGUGGGCGCAGGAAAUUUGAGAAGAGCUGUCCUCAGUACGAGAGGACCGGGAUGGACGCAUCAAUGGUGGACCAGUUGUCACGCCAGUGGCAUAGCUGGGUAGCUAAAUGCGGAAGGGAUAAACGCUGAAGGCAUCUAAGUGUGAAACCCACUUCAAGAUGAGAUUUCCCAUUGCGCAAGCAAGUAAGACCCCUUAAAGACGAUAAGGUAGAUAGGUCAGGAGUGUAAGCAUGGUGACAUGUUAAGCGGACUGAUACUAAUAGGUCGAGGGCUUGACCGA
rnacentral:rRNA from 1 species